GUAUAGGCUAUGAAGAAGAAUAGUAGAAACAAUUAUACAGAGAGAGAAUCCUAGGCUGAGAGAUUUUCACCUGUUUUGAACCCGCUUCGGAGCUGUAGGCAAAACCUACCGGUUGAUACCGUUAACAGAAUGAGUGAAAAAUUUAGGUGGUACCGCGGUAAAACUCGCCCUAACA
rnacentral:ncRNA from 1 species